rnacentral:rRNA from 1 species
UACGGGGGGGGCAAGCGUUGUUCGGAAUUACUGGGCGUAAAGGGCUCGUAGGCGGCCAACUAAGUCGGACGUGAAAUCCCCAGGCUCAACCUGGGAACUGCGUCCGAUACUGGAUGGCUUGAAUUCGGGAGAGGGAUGCAGAAUUCCAGGUGUAGCGGUGAAAUGCGUAGAUAUCGGGAAGAACACCCGUGGCGAAGGCGGCUCUCUGGAACGCAACUGACGCUGAGACGCGAAAGCGUGGGGAGCAAACAGG